rnacentral:rRNA from 1 species
UCCUAGCUGUAAACGAUGUAGACUAGGUGUGGGAGGUAUCGACCCCUUCCGUGCCGACGCUAACGCAUUAAGUCUACCGCCUGGGGAGUACGGCCGCAAGGUUAAAACUCAAAGGAAUUGACGGGGGCCCGCACAAGCGGUGAUCAUGUGUUUAAUUCGACCUACGCGAAGAACCUACCUGGCUCGAACGACAGUGUACUCCUGAUGAAAAUCGGGGGGAUCCCA